AGCACUAGUUGCGGGUGCAGGGGGUCAGAGUGACUGGAGGAGAGAAUCACCCAAAGCUCCAUCAUCCUGAAGAAGGGAGCAAGGGAAUGACUUCGCGCUUCUUGAGAUAAACAUGUUGAAGAAUCUGGAGCAGAAGAUAAAUUAAUGUCAAGAGGGCGCUUCCCGGGCCUCCAUCUCCUGUUUUGACUGUUUGGGCUCCAACUUCCAGGAUUUUAAGCAGGUUCCCUCGAGGCCUUACUGUGAAAAGAGAUCCCAACAGGACAGCGAGCACGUGUGUUGCGGGUGUACAGAAAAGGAACACAGAAUUGUUCGACCAUCUGCAGUGGGCUCCUUCCUGUUUAAUUUUCAGACCCAGCCAGGGACCUAAGACGAUCAAGAAAAACGUUCUUCUCCCCAUGCUCUCAUCUAGAAGAGAAGGAAAUGGAGGCUCAGAAUGCUGAUCUGAGUUGCCUGAGAUCCCACUGCUAGAAAUUGCAGCGAGAGACUGGGACGCUGGUCCCCUCUGGUUCCAAGUCCAGAUAGAAAUGAUUGAAGUUGUGGUAAACGUAAACAAGACGGAGCCAGCAGAUAAGCAGCGGCACCCCAACAGAAGUAAGGAGUGGAGUGACAUCUGGAGGAGACAGGAAGAAAGGAGUGUGAAAGAGUUGGGAGUUUGAAAAUACUGGAAGAUUAGCCCUGAGCUAACAUCUGCUGCCAAUCCUCCUCUUUUUGCUGGGGAAGACUGGCCCUGAGCUAACAUCCAUGCCCAUCUUUCUCUAUUUUAUGUGAGACGCCUGCCACAGCAUGGUUUGCCAAGUGGUGCACAAGUCUGCACCUGGGAUCCAAACCAGUGAACCCCAGACCGCUGAAGCAGAACGUGCGAAGUUAACUGCCGUGCCCCAAGGCUGGCCCCACAUUAAUACUUUUUAAAAGCAUCAUUUUAAUAACUACAUAAUAUGUUUUAAUGGACGUACCACAAUUUAUUUACUAUAGUACAUUUAAGGUAACACAGUUAAGAUAAAUAACACUAAUAAACAUCACCAUCCAUAUAUUUUUCCUACAUUUCUCAUAGUUUCCUUAAAAUAAAAUCCUAUAAAUUAUAUACUUUAUGUUCUUAUUGAAUUGUGCUUAAUUUUGUGAGUUGAUUUACAAUAUCUACCAACAUCAGAUUAUGUGAGAAUUCAGUGAGAUGAGGUAUGUUCCUAUUUUCCUGAGCUAAGUUGGAAUAAAAGUUGUGGUCAUACAAGCACUUGAAGAAUAUUAAAGAUCUUCUUGACCAUUUCUUCUCCACUAAAAAAAAGGGAGGAGGGAAGGAACAACUUUUGAUGUGGGAUCCUUCCCAGAUUUUAAAUUAUUGUUCCUUUCCUCUGGGUUCUCUAAAGUCUUGCCUUAAUGACCAGACUCUCUCUAAAAACAGGCUCUGAGACUCUGACCACAGAGGGAAGGUUCUCUUACAGUCUCUACACAGUUAAGGAAAAGGCAGAGACCAGGGAGCCCUGAUCCAGUGACUUGCAGAGAGAAAUUAACCUUCAGUUUUUUGGGGUUUUUUGAGGAAGAUUGGCUCUGAGCUAGCAUCUGUUGUCAAUCUUCCUCUUUUUUUCCCCGCUUCUCCCCAAAGCCUCAGUACAUGGUUGUAUAUUCCAGUUGUAGGUCCUUCUGGUUGUGCUACGUGGGACACUGCCUCAGCACGGCUUGAUGAGCAGUGCACAGGUCAGCGCCCAGGAUCUGAACUGGCGAACCCUGGGCCGCCAUAGUGGAUCAUGUGAACUUAACCACUCGGCCACAGGACUGGACCCAACCUUUACCUUUUCAAGGUAGAGAAGAGAAAGAAGUUUGUUUUUCUUAGACAAUGCCUGACCUUCUUUGUAAAGUCUAAUUCUAUUCUUACAUGUUGUAGACAAGAAUGUUUCAAAGUUAUAUCCUAUGUAAGGUUAAGUCACUUUACUGAGCUUGAAAAAUACUGAUUCAUUCCAAACUCUCCUACCAGUAGACUGUACAGUUGUUCAUAAUUGAGGAAAUUGGAUUAGAAUGAAGCUUCACAGAAUCCAAGGAGAAUUCCUUAUUUUUCAGUUGCCUCCAUGUCCAAUUGUGUGAGGCAUAAUUCUAAGAUGGCCUCACAAUUCCAGACUCCUGGAAUAAUGUCCUGUAUAAUCUCUUCCCCUUUCACGUGUAUGGGACUUAGGAAUAUGGUAGGAUUUCAUUCCCAUGAUUAGGUUACAUUAUGUGACAAAGGUGAAAGGAUUGCACAGAUGUAAUUAAGGUCCCUAAUCUGCUGACUCUGAGUUAAUCAAAGGCAUAAAAACCAAACAAUCCAAUUAAAAAAUGGGUAAAAACUUGAAUAGAUAGUUUUUCUAAAUAAGAUACAAAUGGCCAAUAAGGAGAUGAAAAGAUCCUCAACAUCAUUAAUCAUUAGGGAAAUGCAAAUCAGAACCACAAGGAGAUACGUCUUCACACCUAGUAGGAAGGCUGUUAUACAAAAACCAGAAAAAAGCAAGUGUUGGUAUGGAUGCACACUGUUGGUAGGGAUGUAAAAUGGUAUGACUGCAAUGGAAAACAGGUAGUUCCUCAAAAUUAAACAUUGAAUUAGCAUUCCAUCCAGCAAUUCCACUCCUGAGUAUAUACCCAAAAAAAUUGAAAGCAGAGAUUCGAACAGACGUUUGUAUACCAAUGUUCAUAGCAGCAUUAGUCACAAAAGCCUAAAUGUGGAAACAACCCAAAUGUCCAUUGAUGGAUGAAUGGAGAGACAACAUAUGGUAUAUACAUACAAUGGAAUAUUACUCAAUUUUAAAAAGGAAUAAAAUUUGAAUACAUACUACAGCAUGGAUGAACCUUGAAGACGUUAUACUAAAUGAAAUAAAUCAGACACAAAAGCACAAAUGCUAUAUGAUUCCACUUAUAUGAGGUACCUAGAAUAGGCAAAUUCAUAGAAAUACAAAGUAGAACAGUGGUUAUUAGGGGCUAGGAGGAGGAAGAAAUGGGGAGUUAUUAUUUAACAGGUAUACUGUUCAGUAUAGGAUGAUGAAAAACUUCUGGAGAUCAAUAGUGGUAAUGAUGAUUGCACAACAAUGUAAAUGUGCUUAAUGCCACUGAACUGUGCACUUAAAAAUGGUGAAAAUGGUUUGGCAGGGUGCAUUAUCCUGGGUGGGCCUGAUCUAAUCAGGUGAGCUCUUUAUAAGAGAGCUCAUGGCUUCCCUGAGAAAGAUUUAUAGCAGCAGAGAUGCUCUCCUGGAUUUGGAAGAGUAAACUGCCAUGUUGUGGGGAGGGCCAUGUGGCAGGAAAUAGCAGGUGGCCUCUGGGAAUUUAGGGCUUCAGUCCUACAGCCAUAAGGAACUGAAUUCUGCCACCAGCCAAUGAGCUUAGAAGAAAACCCCAAGUCUCAGGGGAAAUCGUAGCCUCAGCCAGCAUCUUGAUGUCAGCCUUGUGACAUCACUGAGUAAAGAGACUCUGAGACUGUGAGACUCUGAGUAAAGCGUACAGCUAAGCCUCGACUCCUGAGCAAGAGAAACUAUGAGAUUAUAAAUACAUAUUGUUUGAAGCUGCUAAAUUUGUGGUGAUUUGUUCUGCAGCAAUAGAAAGCUAAUAGACAGACACUGCUGUAUUUAUCAGUUCUCCUCAUUAAUUAGACAAAAUAUAACUGUGCUACUCUCACUUUUGUGCCUCAGUAAAGCAGGGCCCUGAGAUGAGGACUUGCCUGUGUGUCUGUGUGGUUCCUUUGCCCAUCCCAAAUCUUGGAUGCAUAUAUUUUUUUAAGAUUUUAUUUUUCCUUUUUCUCCCCAAAGCUUCCCGGUACAUAGUUGUGUAUUUUUAGUUGUGGGUCCUUCUAGUUGUGGCAUGUGGGAUGCCGCCUCAGCGUGGCCUGAUGAGCAAUGCCAUGUCUGUGCCCAGAAUUCGAACUAGCGAAACCCUGGACCGCUGAAGCAGAGCGCUCGAACUUAACCACUCGGCCACGGGGCCGGACCCAGAUGCAUGUUUUGAUUGAUGAUGAUUGUCCUCAAUGUACAAGAUCCUGUGCUAUCCCCCCACCCUACCGUCGCUCCCUCAUGCACUGGAAUCAUCCUGAAAUGAUUUGUAACAUUCCCUUCAUCCCUGGCUCAGGGUGUCCUAAGGUCUUUGGGACCAGCGGUCCCUAAAUCACAUGACAGCUUUUCCUGUUGUGAUAAUAGGGUGAGCACAGUGGCAAAUCGGUGGCUGGUCUGCUGCAGCAGCUCAGGUGAUGCAUUCCACUGCUGCCCCCCACACUGACCUCAUGCCCGAGUAGACCAGCUUUCCCCUGCUUCCAUCCACAGACACAGUUAUCUUUCAGGCUCAAGGAGCCUCAGCAUCCCACCCUUCACAGAACCAGCACCUUCUCCCUUGCAGGCCAGUGGAUCCUUUUUUAGAUUCUCAAACACAAACAUCUGAUCAUCCACCUUUCUCAGGGGCUUGAGUGACGACAGGAACACAAUGGUGGUGGUGGAGAGGGGUAAGGAGCUGAUGUCAUCUUUCACACUUCAAAGGUAUUCAGCAACCCUGGGACGACCAAGGUCACACACAUAGACACACUUCUUCUCUGGAAGACCAUCUCCUCACAGAUUUCCAGCCCCGUGGUUACCCUCGAAUGAACCCCAUCUCCAAGAGGUUUGUGGGGAAGCCAGGAGAGAGGAGGCAGAUCGCGCAUUCUGUCACAUGCAUCACUGGUUUGGGACAAUUAUUUUAAUCCCCGUGAUAGGAACAUGUUCAUAUUUCCAUGUUUGCACAAUACUUUUCAGUCUACUUAACUUGAUAUCCAAGGACACUAUAAGCCAAUAUCCAAUUUAAUAGUUUUAUUAAGAAAACAGUAAAGAAAUAAACUUGAGUCAAAUAGAUGGCCUCAUACAAAUGGUAUCUCCAAUACCGUCAGAGACCAAGCACGUGAUGGACGACGCUAUUGUAGUUUUCUUUAAAAAGAGCGCCAGAGCACUGCGUCUCUAACACCCUCCCAAAGGUGACUAAAUGCUAGCGGAUAAACUUAUAUCCUCACUAGGGACAGAACAGCUCAUUUCUUACCUUAAAAAAAAAUAUUUUCUGGCUUCACAGGUUUUUAAAGAGCCUGUGCUUGAAACUGAAAUCAUACAACACGCUGGAGCAGGGACAAUUCCUGAGUGUUGCUGGGGCUUCUUUGGAAAGUUACCCACAUAGAAACAAUGAAAUUUCACUUGAGUGUAGAAUAUAUUUGCAGAGAAAAAGAGAAUGCAAAUGAGAUUGCAAUCAGAAGCACCGUAUUUCCCAUUUUUAAAAAAAUAUGUUUUUAGAAGUGCCUUGUUUUUCAAAAUAGGCAAAUAAGGACAUGAAGACAUACAAACACUCAAGCAUUGACAAAGAAAACUUCUUCUUUCGUGACUUUUUAUUUAUUUCUCUCUAGUAGACCAAACUCCAACCUGUAUAUUCAGGACUGGAGCGAGAACCAGGAUGGAGAAAAAUUUUAAGGACUUUGUGUAAAGAAGGUCUUGCUUCCCUCCCGAGGCCAGCGAGAGAUGGUGAAGCAAGCAAGGAUGGAGCAACACCCCAAAGCUGUGACACGCAGGCCCCACCAGCGACUGGCCUUGGGCCCCUUCACCCCCGUCACUCCCUCCACCACCUCCCCAGGCUCUCCCAGCUCCCUGGGAUCCCAGGCUCUCCAUGCCCGGCCCAGUCUGCGACCAAUGCCUGGGCUAGGCCUGGCUGGUGUCUCCUUGCCCUCUAGGCCUUUGCCUCUUCCUCCAGGGAGUCCUCCCUAAUGCCCUUCCCAGACUGAGUCCGUCUGUGCUGCAUGUGUCAUGUCUGUGAAACGUAGAGGACAUAUGGCUCCUCCAGGAGGGGCACAGGAGUCUGGGAGGGAACCAGUGGGAGGCUGGCAAGAGGAAGCAAGGAGAAGCCAGCACAGAUGCCUGAGCAACUGACUGAAGCCUUGUCGUCUCUGACCUUGGAAGUCAGGCCCUCACUCGGUUACCUGAUCUCACGGCUCAAUUUGCAACCGGAAGCACAUCAUCGGCUCAAACGAACGUUGGUUGAAUGAAUGAACUGGAGGAAAAGAACCGGGGAGGCAGAGGGGGUCUGAAAACCUCGAGUCGGGUCUGCAUCCUGCUGUGUAAAAUGAGCUCACACGCGCACUGCAGGAGAUUCCAACAGCCUGGCCUGGGGUCUCCUCUUCCAUCAGGGCUCAGCUGAGCCACCGCCUGCCCCAGGAAGCCUUCUCUCAACCCCACAGUUCACUGGGGGUGGGGGCAGGGGCACCGUGCAUAAGCUCGUUGUUGGAGGGAGUAAUGGACCAAGUCCAGAAAGUUCCAUUGCAAGAUGAUGAGAGUCAGGGAGGCAGGGUGGCCUCAUGGGCUUUGCCAUUUUCUUUUUCUUACCUUGUUAAAUUAAAAGCAAUUUUCAAAAAAGUGAAAAGAAAACUCUCUCCCAAUAAAAGGAUCUUCCAGCUGGAGUUGGGAUCCUUCCUAGGAGAGUAUCAGUAUUUUCUCUGUUCUAGGGGGAGCGCUGGAAUAUAUCCUGGGGCAGACUCUCCUUUUGUUCCGGAGGACUGUGAGCUGGUUUGGUUUGAGGUCUAUAAGAUUCUUCAUUGUUGUGGGGAGAAGUCCCAAGGAAAGCCCCAAACCAAUGAAGUGAUCCUACUGCAGAUGUUUCAGAGGGAGGUGUUGAGGGCUUUUCUUAGCGCUGUACCUUGACGUGUCUUCUUGACAGGACUAAGCCUCUGCAGGAUCAGAGCCACCAUGGAGCAGCAUGGAGACUGGGCAGAGAAAUCAGCCAGCUCUGCUCACCGGUCCGUGAGGUGCUAGUCUUCCCAGAGAAAGGGCAGCUUUUUCUAAUUUUCACGAUGUGCCAUAGAGACUAGAGUUUCUGAGAGACAGUAUACAACCCCUGAGACCAUGCCAAGAAGGACCUAGGGAUCUGAUCUGAUCUCUACCAUUUACCAGAGGAAAGACUAUGAAGAGGAAGUAAACUGAGUUUGGUUUAGAAGCGCUGGCUCCUUGAUUUUGUUGCCCAGACGUGGUAUUAAGCCUGAAUAACCCAGCCUGCAGGAAAUGUGUUGUCAGCUGUUGAGAGUGUCUUGUCUGAGCAAUGGAGGAGGGAGAUGGAGUGGGCAGACGGUAUGCUACGUGGAGGGUGGGAGUGCUCCUAAGCCGAUGGGUGCUCCCACUGCGAAUCAGCCUGGGAUAGGAAAAGAAACAGGUCCAGGAAGGGGAGAGGGCUCUCUAGAGCCAGAGAAGUUGAGCCUGGAUUUCGGGUAGGAGGACAGCAGCAAAGAUCCUUGCAAGAUGGCAGCUGUCUGAGGAUCAAGGAGAAAGAAGACCAAUAGGGGAUGACCUAUAGGAGGGUGCGGAUUAGGCACCUAGGAAGAGUGAUAGCUGGAUAUUUUUUGACCACAUUACAGUCCAUUCAGCAAUCUCCAAGCCUUCAGUGAAGUUUAUUUAGCUUUGAAGAAAUAAAGAAGAUGCCUGGACCUGCGCAUUGGGCCACCGCAGCCUGGACAAGCCGUUACACAAGAGGGGAGUUGCGGUUUGGAGAAAAAUGACUGGCUAAAGGGACGAAUGCAGGGGAACCAUCUUCAUGGGACAGAUAAGCAUUCUUUGAGGACUAUCAGAAACACUUGGCGAGGGCAACCAGAAAACCAGGACUUCAUGCAGUUGUUCAAGUCAGGAGCUUGGAUGAAGUUAGUUGGUGUUAAAGGAAAGGUUGACUCUGGAAGGCUAGAGGUGGUGGGGACAUGUGAGAUCCCCAGGGGAGAACGAAUGGCUAGAAGGGAAGGGAAUGUGGCAUUGCUGACUCCAAAGUGCCACAACACAUUUUUCUUUUAGCUCUCAAAGUGAAAAGCUGACAGUUCCAUUCCUAUAAGGGGAAGGCAUUUUGCUAGAUGGAAU
ensembl:lncRNA